rnacentral:lncRNA from 12 species
CCAUAUUCCAAGCCCCUGGGAACAUGUAGCUAACAACAAUUCUUCUGCAUUCAGUUUAGUUGGUCUGCUUUAGUAUACAGCAAAUGUACCUUCCCUUCCCUUCCCUUCCCUUCCCUUCCCUGAAACUUCCCUUCCCUGAAACUUAACUUCCCUUCCCUGAAACUUAACUUCCCUUCCCUGAAACUUAACUUCCCUUCCCUUCCCUUCCCUUCCCUUCCCUGAAACUUCCCUUCCCUUCCCUGAAACUUCCCUGAAACUUCCCUGAAACUUCCCUGAAACUUCCCUGAAACUUCCCUGAAACUUCCCUGAAACUUCCCUGAAACUUCCCUGAAACUUCCCUGAAACUUCCCUGAAUGGAAAUUCUCUUUAGCUUUGCCAACACCUACAACUCUUUGCUGUUUUCUUUGGUCAAUAUCCUGACUUUUGAAUAUGUGGAAAAUGCAGGGGAAAAAAAGCUCCUCCAGUGUUGUUUCCUGCAAAGACCAUUCUUAAGAGCUCGUUGGACAGCACAGGACUCUUGAAGUGAUAGCUAAUUGCUGAAAGAAAGGCCCUGAUUGUCUUGAGGGAGCUGGAAAGUCCUGUGUCUGCUGCUGAAAGGGACUAGGGAGAAGGUGUCUGGCUUUGCUGAGCAGCUGCUGCUGGAGAUGUUUGGAGAUUACAUCAGCAUUGGAAAAGAGGGGCCAAAAUUUAAAAAAUCCAACUUUGCAGAGACGGAGUUUGUGGAGUUUUUUUCCCCCCUUCCAAAGGUCUUCUUACAAUACUGUCAUUGUCAGUAUAAGAGCUGUUAAUUCUUUAUGAAUAGCACACGGGGCCUCUUGACUAAACAGAACGUUAUAUGUCCCAAAUCUGUCAGCUGGACUCUUCUCUCACAUGCUAGUGAGAUCACUUUGAUUGGAAUGUUAGAGGAAUUGGUGGGCUGGCCAUGCAAAACUGAAUACUGCAUUAUAUAAUUAGAUCUCCCAGAGUAUUCUUUUCACAUUACUUCAUUAUUGUAGCUUAAAUAUGGAAUCAGUCCUUUUGAUGGUUUUACUGGUUGCAAUUAUAUUAAUACGAUUCAUUUUGUGGUCCUGUCUUAGUGCUUAUAUAGAUUAUAAAUCAUCCCGAAGGUUUCCUUACCCAAGAAAAGAGGACUAAGAGACUUCAAAAGCCUUGUUCAGGUUUGAAUUGACAAUGGGGAGAGCUGGAUACAGUAAAAGGAGCUAUAGCAGCUUUUACCUAGGGAUCUGAUGAGAGAAAUGAACUGUUGAGGCUGCAGCUGAGUGAAGAUCCUUCAGAAAGCCUCCCGCUGACAGAGGGGAAGAAAUGACAACUGAUUGAGUCAAAUGACUUCCUAUCCAACUUGAGCAUGAAUUUGCUGUUGGGAACACAUUUGUGGACUCUGCCAAUUAAAUGACAGGCUGGAAGGAACCCUCUUGCUGGGCAAUCCAAGAGUGCUUAGUGUCCACAUGCCAUGGUGUGGGCUGGAAGGAACAGAUUUUUACCUGACUGGUUGAUUUAUUACCAAAUUCCUCAUGCUUCUUCCCAGUCAGUGAGAUCUGAAACUGACUGAAGGGUUUUAGCUGACCGUAACCUGCCCAAUAUUCAUGUUUCUUAGCAAGCGAUGUAUCUGAGUACCAGUACAAGGUGGAUACCACUGGAAUAAUCUGUUCCAUGGAAGACAGAUUUGUGUCUCAGAGAUUGUCUGACUGUGCUUCAACACCAACAAUGGGUGGGGUGACAACAUGAGUGAGUUUUGACACCAACACCUUGCAAGUGACCUUCAUGUCUCGCCUGAAAUAAGCACCCUACUAGACCGCUGGCAGAUUUGGCUACUUGCCCAAGGACAAAGUGACUUGGGAUUUCUUGGUUAACUUACCUGGCAAAGGGGAAUAAAUUUUUCCAAGUG